GCACACUUCGGCAGCACAUACACUAAAAUUGAAACAAUACAGAGAAAAUGAGUAUGGUCCCUGUGCAACAAUAACACAAAAAUUUGUAAAGUGUUCUAUAUUUUA